AACAUAUUUGUGGACAUCAUCAAUAAGAGCAAGUAAUCGCUCCAUUGAUGCUUCCAUUCCUUCGAGAUCAUUGGGAAGUUUGUCCACACUUGUUGUCUUGAGCAUAUCAAAUCCAACCCUUUCAGCUUCAACCAUGCGUAGAUCCAAUGGGAUUUCCUGGAAUUGAGCAGCAAGUGGCUGAUCUCCAAGAGACAAAUGCACAGAGACAAAGCCUUUUAUUGAAGCUUCCCCAUUUUGAAAUCCAGUAUCAACAGUCAAAUGUAUAGGAUUUGAACUUUCUCUAGAAUAAAACUCUUGGAUCAAAGCACUACCACCAGAGACUCCAAAACCAGUAGAAAACCAUCCAACA
rnacentral:misc_RNA from 1 species